GUAUCAGAAGAUAAUUCAGCAGAAGUGCUGAACAAUUGAUUAAUAUUGUUUCUCUCCGCAUCACUGAUUACAAUGCUUUUGACAAUUUAAAGUCAUGACAUCUAUGAGUAAAAGAGGCAACUCUAUCACCUAUGUAAUAGUUCAUACAAGGUUACAACACUUAGUAUUACAAAGACAAAUUUCAGUGGAUGCCCAGCUCCACUAAUCAUUUACAGUACAUACCCGAGCAUUUAUUAGGAAAAAUUGACUCAAAGACUAUGAAUGAAAAGAUUUUUAAAUCACAUUAAUAUUUUGUUGAAGCCACAAAAUAAAAAUUAUGGGAUAUCACAUACACCAGACUGUUCCUUUUCACCUUCCCCGUGGAUUUACCAGUUGAGAGAAAACAGCACUAGUGGCAACAUCCUCUGCAUCAUCAUCAGUUCCAGAGUUGAUCCCAUCGAUCAUACUAACACUAUUGUCAAAUGGCUCAAGUGGUGUCAAAGGUAUGCUGGGUAUAUGGUUCGUGCUGUUAUCAUCGGGCUCUGCUAGAGCUGAUGAGGUUUCCUCAAGCUGAAGAGCAUAUUCUAGAUUCCAUAGAACAUCCCCCAUGGAAGGUCUAUCAACUCCAUGGUCAGCCAAACACUUCUCCGCGGUCUCCCCAAACUUCUUGAGGGAGGCUGAAUUCACCUUCCCUGUAAGAUUUGGGUCCAUUAUCUGAUCCAACAUGCCUUUCUUUUGCCAAGUCAUGGCCCACUCGGCUAUAUUGACUUGAUCCCGUGGUAGGACAGGAUUCAAUGCAGGUCUGGUGCAGAGCACUUCCAUUAGGACAACACCAAAUGAAUAAACAUCUGAUUUCUCAGUAAGCUGCUGUCUUCUAAAGUACUCGGGAUCCAGGUAACCAAAGCUACCUUUAACAGCAGUGCUGACAUGCGUCUGAUCAAUAGCUGGCCCAGCUUUAGAAAGACCAAAA
rnacentral:misc_RNA from 1 species